ensembl:lncRNA
AGAUCUCAAUCCAAUCCAGCAUCUGUGGGAUGUGCUGAACAAACAAGUCUGAUCCAUGGAGGCCCCACCUCACAACUUACAGGAUUUAAAGGAUCUGCUGCUAACAUCUUGGUGCCAGAUACCACAGCGCACCUUCAGGAGUCUAGUGGAGUCCAUGCCUCGAUGGGUCAGGGCUGUUUUAGCAGCAAAAGGGGAACCAACACAAUAUUAGGAAGGUGCUCAUAUUGUUCUGCCUGACCGAUAAUGCGGAGCUACAGCCGUGCUCUCACCAAAAGCUCUUACACUGCACACAUUUACCAUCUGAAGUAUGAAUGACAAACCGCUUCAGAUGAUUCAAUGCAUACAG